GCACCACAAGGGGUGAAGCCUGCGGUUCAAUUGGACUCAACGCCGGAAAACUUACCAGGGGAGACAGCAGUAUGACGGUCAGGUUGACGAUCUUGCCCGACUAGCUGAGAGGUGGUGCAUGGCCAUCGUCAGCUCGUACCGUGAGGCGUCCUGUUAAGUCAGGCAACGAGCGAGUUCCUCGCCCCUAGUUGCCAUCGGUGGGAAGCCGGGCACUCUAGGGGGACCGCUGGCGCUAAGUCAGAGGAAGGAGAGGGCGACGGUAGGUCAGUAUGCCCCGAAUCCCCUGGGCUACACGCGGGUUACAAUGCGCAGGACAAUGAGAUGCAACCCCGUAAGGGGGAGCCAAGCCCCUAAACCUGCGCUCGGUUCGGAUCGAGGGCUGUAACUCGCCCUCGUGAAGCUGGAAUCCCUAGUAAUCGCGUGCCAACACCGCGCGGUGAAUGCGUCCCUGCUCCUUGCACACACCGCCCGUCAAGCCACUCGAGUGGGGUUUGGAUGAGGUCAGUUCAAGUUGUGCUGCUCGAAUCCGAGUUCUGCAAGAGGGGCU
rnacentral:rRNA from 1 species